rnacentral:lncRNA from 1 species
AUGUGGCAUAUUAUAUUUAAGAGGAAUGCUAGGAGAUCAGCAAUUUUUGUCAUUUGUAGCCAUCAAAUAGCCAUCAAUGAUGGUUUUAAUGGUGUGAAAUUGGUGUGAAGUUUCAUCCAAUGUCUCACUUUUCUUUACUGGUUACAUGUUGACCAAAAUUGAACAAAGUUGCUGGCCCUAGACUUUUCCUAUAUUUAAUUUGUAACAAGAUUAUAUGCUACAUUAUAGCACAACAAUACAAGUUUAUUUUCCACAAUUCAAGCACACUACUCUCUAUAUAUUGAAGAUUGUUGACUAUGGUAGCAAACUAUAUAUUUAUAUAUAUACAUACCCUAUGUUUCUAAACAAACAACAACUAGCUAGGGUUUGACAUAUAUAUAUAUAUAUAUACAGUAUUAGCAUAGGAUUAUGUCAGUAAUCAUCACUAUAGCAGGUGAUCUGUUAUAGUUUAAGCUGCAGGAGCGUAAUCGUAGCCACCGUCAUCGUCGUCGUCGUCGUCAUCAUCUCCUUCAGGCAGUACUAUUACGGGGUUGGAAGUGCACCAUUCAUGAUGAUGGUAAGGAACAACUUCUUCCUCGUGCAGAUUAUUGGCCUGGGGAAGAACCUGCAACAUCAUGAUUUCUCACUUCUUAAUACUAUAAAAUAGCUCAACACGGCUUAGUUAAUUCAGG